rnacentral:rRNA from 1 species
CAUCUCCUUAAGAUUAUAAUUUAAGGUAUGAUCUGCCCACUGAGAAUUUAAUGGCCGCAGUAAAUUGACUGUGCAAAGGUAGCAUAAUAAUUAGUUUCUUAAUUAGAAGCUGGAAUGAAUGAUUCAACAAAGGAGUGACUGUCUCUAAAGUAAAAUUAAAACUUUAUUUUUAAGUGAAAAAGCUUAAAUUUAUUUAUAGGACGAGAAGACCCUAUAGAAUUUUAUUCAAUGAGAGGUUUAGGAUGAUAUGGGAGAAUUUAAUUGGGGUGAUUUCAAGAUUUAAGGAACUCUUGAUUAUAAAAUCAUUGAUUAAUGUAUUUAAGAAUUUUUUUAAUGUAAGAUAAAUUACCUUAGGGAUAACAGCGUUAUAUUAGUUUUGAGAUCUUAUUAAAAUUAAUGAUUGCGACCUCGAUGUUGGAUUAAAAUUAAGUUUGGUGUAGCAGCUAAAUAGUUAAGUCUGUUCGACUUAUAAAAUUUUACAUGAUCUGAGU